rnacentral:rRNA from 1 species
AACCCUGACGCAGCAACGCCGCGUGGGUGAUGAAGGUCUUCGGAUUGUAAAGCCCUGUUUUCUGGGACGAUAAUGACGGUACUAGAGGAGGAAGCCACGGCUAACUACGUGCCAGCAGCCGCGGUAAUACGUAGGUGGCGAGCGUUGUCCGGAUUUACUGGGCGUAAAGGGUGCGUAGGCGGAUGUUUAAGUGGGAUGUGAAAUCCCCGGGCUUAACCUGGGGGCUGCAUUCCAAACUGGAUAUCUAGAGUGCAGGAGAGGAAAGCGGAAUUCCUAGUGUAGCGGUGAAAUGCGUAGAGAUUAGGAAGAACACCAGUGGCGAAGGCGGCUUUCUGGACUGUAACUGACGCUGAGGCACGAAAGCGUGGGUAGCAAACAGGAUUAGAUACCCUGGUAGUCCACGCCGUAAACGAUGGAUACUAGGUGUAGGGGGUAUCAACUCCCCCUGUGCCGCAGUUAACACAAUAAGUAUCCCGCCUGGGGAGUACGGUCGCAAGAUUAAAACUCAAAGGAAUUGACGGGGGCCCGCACAAGCAGCGGAGCAUGUGGUUUAAUUCGAAGCAACGCGAAGAACCUUACCUGGACUUGACAUCCCUUGCAUAGCCUAGAGAUAGGUGAAGCCCUUCGGGGCAAGGAGACAGGUGGUGCAUGGUUGUCGUCAGCUCGUGU